UACAGAGGGGGCAAGCGUUAUUCGGAAUUAUUGGGCGUAAAGGGCGCGUAGGCGGUUUUUUAAGUCGGAUGUGCAAGCCCCGGGCUCAACCUGGGAACUGCAUUUGAUACUGGCAGACUAGAGUAUGGUAGAGGGGGGUAGAAUUCCUGGUGUAGCGGUGAAAUGCGUAGAUAUCAGGAGGAAUACCAGUGGCGAAGGCGACCCCCUGGGCCAAUACUGACGCUGAGGUACGAAAGCGUGGGUAGCGAACAGG
rnacentral:rRNA from 1 species